UUUGGAAAAGCUACUAAGGGCGUACGGAGGAUGCCUAGGUACAUGAAGGCGAUGAAGGGCGUGAUAAGCUGCGAAAAGCCUCGGGGAAGUGCAAAUAACUGUAGAUCCGGGGAUAUCCGAAUGGGGCAACCCUACUCGAUUAAUCUCGAGUAACUCCCACCUGAAUAUAUAGGGUGGGUAGAGCUAACGGAGUGAACUGAUACAUCUAAGUAACUCUAGGAAUAGAAAAUAAAAAUGAUUCCCUCAGUAGCGGCGAGCGAACGGGGAAGAGCCUAAACCAUUGACGUGCCAAGCUUACAGGUUUUGCGCCAAUGGGGUUAUGGGAUUGUUUUGGAGUCGACUGUAAUCGAUUCGGCAAGUCAAAAACUCAAUGAUUAAAUGAACGGUAUGGAAAGACCGGCCAAAGAAGGUGAUAGCCCUGUAAUUAAAAAUCUGCGAACUUGCUGGAAACAACACCCGAGUAGCGCGGGACACGAGAAAUCCUGUGUGAAUUUGCCGAGACCAUUCGGUAAGGCUAAAUACUCUCAUGUAACCGAUAGUGAACUAGUACCGUGAGGGAAAGGUGAAAAGUACUCCUAACGGAGAGUGAAAUAGAACCUGAAACCGUAUGCCUACAAGCGGUCAGAGUCCCGAUUCGUCGGGAUGAUGGCGUGCCUUUUGCAUAAUGAGCCAGCGAGUUGCUCGUACGUUGCAAGGUUAAGGACUAAAGUCCGGAGCCGAAGGGAAACCAAGUCUGAAUAGGGCGAUUAAGUAGCGUGCGGCAGACCCGAAACCGAGUGAUCUAGCCAUGACCAGGUUGAAGGUGCAGUAACAUGCACUGGAGGACCGAACCCACUUCGGUUGAAAACGGAGGGGAUGAGUUGUGGUUAGGGGUGAAAGGCCAAUCAAACUCGGAGAUAUCUGGUUCUCGCCGAAAUGCCUUUAGGGGCAGCGUCACGUUAAUGUACCGGGGGUAGAGCACUGAAUGGGCUAGGGGGCCUACCAGCUUACCAACCCCAAUCAAACUCCGAAUACCGAAUACAUGAUGCGUGGCAGUGAGGCUGCGGGGGAUAAGCUUCGUAGCCGAGAGGGAAACAACCCAGACCAUCAGCUAAGGUCCCUAAAUUAAUGCUAAGUGAUAAAGGAUGUAAAAUCGCCCAGACAGCUAGGAGGUUGGCUUAGAAGCAGCCAUCCUUUAAAGAAAGCGUAACAGCUCACUAGUCAAGGGGUUUUGCGCCGAUAAUAUCCGGGACUAAGCAUUGUACCGAAGCUAUGGAUUUCCGCUUUGCGGAAGUGGUAGGUGAGCGUUCCAUUAACUUGUGAAGGUUGACCCGUGAGGGCAGCUGGAGGAGAUGGAAAUGAGUAUGCUGGCAUGAGUAGCGAUAAAGCCCGUGAAAUUCGGGCUCGCCGAAAGCUCAAGGUUUCCUGAGUAAAGUAACUCUGCUCAGGGUUAGUCGGACCCUAAGCCGAGGCCGAAAGGCGUAGGCGAUGGAAAACGGGUUUAAUAUUCCCGUACCGGUAUAGGAUUGUUUGAGUGAUGGGGGGACGCAGAAGUGAAAGGUCAUCCCGGUUUUGAUAGUCCGGGUUUAAGUGUGUAUGGGGUUCUGGCAGGAAAAUCCGCCGGAACUUUACCCAGAGGCACGAAUAGGAGGGCCUAGCCCACAAACUGACCCUAAUCAUACUGCCAAGAAAAGCCUCUAAACGAGAUCCUAGACCGACCGUACCGUAAACGGACACACGUGAGCGAGGAGAGAAUCCUAAGGCGCUUGAGAGAAUUCAAGUAAAGGAACUAGGCAAAUUAGCCCCGUAACUUCGGGAGAAGGGGUGCCCUUAUUAUGUGAAGGACUUCGCGUCCGGAGCAGAAAGGGGUCGCAGCGACCAGGCCCAAACGACUGUUUACUAAAAACACAGGUCUAUGCUAAGUCGUAAGACGAAAUAUAUGGACUGACACCUGCCCGGUGCUGGAAGGUUAAAUGGAGAGGUUAGUCCCGAUUUAUCGGGACGAAGCUUUGAAAUGAAGCCCCAGUAAACGGCGGCCGUAACUAUAACGGUCCUAAGGUAGCGAAAUUCCUUGUCGGGUAAGUUCCGACCUGCACGAAUGGUGUAACGAUUUGGGCACUGUCUCUACUUGAAACUCAGCGAAAUUGAAGUGUCGGUGAAGAUGCCGGCUACCCGCGGCAGGACGAAAAGACCCCGUGAACCUUUACUAUAACUUAGCAUUGGAUUCUGGUUCUGCAUGUGCAGGAUAGGUGGGAGGCUUUGAAACUCGGACGCUAGUCCGGGUGGAGCCAACCUUGAAAUACCACCCUUGUAUUGCUUGAAUUCUAAUCCCGACCCGUGAAUCCGGGCGAGAAACAGUGUUAGGUGGGUAGUUUGACUGGGGCGGUCUCCUCCUAAAAGGUAACGGAGGAGCCCAAAGGUUCCCUCAGCACGGUCGGUAAUCGUGCGUAGAGUGCAAAGGCAUAAGGGAGCUUGACUGCGAGGUCGACGGACCGAGCAGGUGCGAAAGCAGGGCUUAGUGAUCUGGUGGUUCCGCAUGGAAGGGCCAUCACUCAUCGGAUAAAAGGUACUCCGGGGAUAACAGGCUUAUCUCCCCCAAGAGUUCACAUCGACGGGGAGGUUUGGCACCUCGAUGUCGGCUCAUCACAUCCUGGAGCUGGAGAAGGUUCCAAGGGUUGGGCUGUUCGCCCAUUAAAGUGGUACGUGAGCUGGGUUUAGAACGUCGUGAGACAGUUCGGUCUCUAUCCGCCGUGGGCGUAGGAUAUUUGAAGGAAGCUGCACCUAGUACGAGAGGACCGGUGUGGACGAACCUCUGGUGCACCAGUUGUCACAUCAGUGGCAUCGCUGGGUAGCUAUGUUCGGUCAGGAUAAGCGCUGAAAGCAUAUAAGUGCGAAACCUAUCCUAAGAUUAGAUAUCCCUACCGUAAGGUAAUAAGGCUCGUUGUAGACUACGACGUUGAUAGGCCACAGGUGUACGUGCAGUAAUGCAUUUAGCCGAGUGGUACUAAUUAGCCGAACGGCUUUAUCAAAUUUU
rnacentral:rRNA from 1 species